AUGUACCCACUGAGAGCAAAUGUAUUGUCCUGUUUCCCUGCUUCUAGACAACUCUUAGUAGAGCUGUUCCCCAGGCCGGGCUACUUUGCAGAGGAGAGCUCAGGCCCAGGAGCUGUAAAGCCCAUGUUACCUGUGUUGGCGGGAUCAAGGGCAGCACAAAGACGUGGUCCUCUGGCAAUGCCUGAGGAAGGCAAGGCUUUGAAGAGUAACCUGAUGAUGAUUUUUAAUUACUGGGAGAAGGCCAGGUGUCCAAAGUCCUGUCUGUAGCCAGUGGAAUAUUCUGUUAGGAAAUCUGCCAGGAGCAUGGGGAGAGAGAAGAGUAUCAACCACACAGUAUCAGCAAAGAUGCACAGAGAAGGUAACAAACUCCCUGACUGGUUUGCUUGCUCCUGGCUAUCAUGAGAAAGCUCCCCACAGGUAGUUUAACCAUCAGAAACUGAUGCUCACGGAGUUCCCAUUGUGGCUCAGCAGUAACGAACCCGACUGGUAUCCAUGAGGACUUGGGUUUGAUCCCUGGCCUUUUUCAUUGGGUUAAGGAUUCAGUGUUGCCAUGAGCUCUGCUGUAGGUUGCAGAUGCGGCUCAGAUCUAGCGUUGCCGUGGCUGUGGUGUAGGCUGGCAGCUACAGCUCCAAUUUGACCCCUAGCCUGGAAAUCUCCAUAUGCUGUGGGUGUGGCCCUAAAAAGAUUUUAAAAAAAGAAAGAAAUCGAUGCUCACAGUUCUGGAGACCAGAAGUCCAAGACCAAGUAGUCGGCAGGUACGGUUUCUUCCAAGGCCUCCCUCCUGUGCCCCUGAUGGCUGCCUUCAUCCUACGUCUUCAUGUGUGCAUGCCUGUGUCCGAAUUUCCUCUUCUUAUCAGGACACACUGGGUAUAGUGGGUAAAGGCCCACCCUACUGACCUCAUUUUAGCUAACUCCCACGUCUCCAAAUAUGAUCCCUUUCUGAGGUCCUGAGGGUGAGAACAUCAAUGUACAAAUUUAAGCGGGACACAGUUCAGCCCAUAACACUCCCCUCUCUCUCUAAAAUUCUGCAGGGCAGAAGGGGGCGGAGGGGGUGCUAAGAGGCAGUGGAGAAGGCUUGUGUUUUGGAGUUAGGCCUAUAUUAAAAUGCCAGCUUAGGAAUUCCCUGAUGGCGCAGCAGGUUGGGUUGGCAUUUCACACUGUGCUGCAGGUUGGAUCACUGACCCAGGAAGUUCUGCAUGCUGCAGGCACGGCCAAAAAAAAAAGAAAAAAAAAAAAUUGCCAGCUUAUUUCCUAGCAGUGUGACCUGGAGAAUUCACUUAGCUUGGAAUUCUUAGCCUCCUUUGUGAAAUAAAGUUAGAAAUACCCUUCUUGCCAGGUGGUGGUGAAAGUGGGAGGCGAUGAUUAAUGUGAAAACACGGGCUCAGACUUUCUCAGGUGUGGACUGACUCCUUCUGAGGCUUCCCUGCCCUGGAGGGAGGAAUUCAUCCUCAGCAGAGCCAACGAGGCCAUGUGCCCUGGCUCCGUCCCACCAGCAGGGCCUGGCUGGGGUGCGAGGGGCCUGAGCCACAAAGAGUUUUAGAUGUGAGGGAUUCAAAAACUACGGUGUGUUUUACGUGUUUAUUUAGUAAACUGAUGCGUUAAACACUCACACAUGCUGUGACUAUACACACAACCUCUACUGGAGAUGAGGUCAAGAGACUAAAUUCGAGGCUCUGGGGAACUUGAAGUCACAGAUUCCCUGAGUCUAUGCUACUGCCGCUCUGGCUUCUUUCACUUCCUCCCGCCAGGCUCCCUCCUGUUCAGGCUCUUCAGUCACCACCCAGGGCAGGCCACCCCCACAACCCCCUCCCCCCAGCCCUUCCGGGUGAGCCUCCAGCGAGUGUCUCGCCCACAGAUGACGUCAACCUCACAGGGCUGCAUUUGUCAUAAAAUAACCCAUUACAUUGCGUUGGACUUUUGUCCUCUGCCUCUCCUUCGAGAAUAUAGGCUCCCCUCGAACAGGAACCUGUUCUCUCUCUCUCUCCACCGUCUGUCCGCAGAGUCAGGUGGAGGGCACCCGGUGAGCUAGCGCACAAACCAUCCCUGAGCCCAUCAGCAGGUGAAUUUAAUGUGAAUGGAGCUAGCUAUUCAGGACCCAUCCUCCAGAAACAGGCUUUGAUCCCCUCAUCCUCAAGGGUCAACGUGUAGCUACUUCCAUUUUCUCCAAAACAAUCCCUGCAAAACCCCAGAGUUUGCAGUAUCCUUAUACUCAUGCAUCCACACAGAUCAUUGAAGGACAGGUAGUUGUGAUGAGUGGGUCGAGGGCUUAAACAUCACCAACAGUGCAGAUGGUACGACUUUUUAUUCACUGAUGAUAAAGGCUGGAAAUUAUUUCAUUCAAAGAAUACCAUCUUCUAGCAUCUGUUGGCUGAUGAAAUCUGUGGAUCAAAACAAAACAAAACAAAAAAAGCCAUUUUCCUGAAGCUGUACCAUUUCGAUGGUUCAUUUUCACAGUGGUAAGCUGGCACAGCAGAAAGAUGUAUACGUCUUUGUUCAUUUUUCCUAGGAAAUAUCUAUUUAUGGGUAAAGAAACACAGACCAAGAUACUGGAGCCGCCAAAAGAGCAUUCCACUCUGGUUCCCAGAACCCGGUGUCCUGUCUGUAUGUGGAAUGUCUCCCCCACAGUCAUUUUUACCCAAAUAGCUCACACAGUUGAACUGGGAGUCCCAGGGGGUCCAGAAAAUUGUUUACCUUUAUUCUGACCAUUAGUGUGCUAAUGAGUAUCCAUCACCCCCCCCCAUACUGGAAGCAAAUUGCUGCUAAUUACAUAAUGAUCAUCUAUGUAAGUAUAACUACUAAAAUUUAAAACCAGGAGACUGGGGCAUUACCAACAUAAGAAGAAUAGGAAGUCUGGCUCCUGUGGCCCAUGUGAGCUAGAAUUAUAUGCAGUUGGCCUAAGGAAAGAGGAAAAGGGAAAGAUUCAAGACCUGGG
rnacentral:lncRNA from 9 species